rnacentral:rRNA from 1 species
GGAUUAGAUACCCUGGUAGUCCUUGCUGUAAACGAUGUAUACUUGAUGUAAUCGGACUUAAUCCCGAUUGUGUCGAAGCUAACGCGGUAAGUAUACCGCCUGGGGAGUACGCUCGCAAGGGUAAAAGUCAAAAGAAUUGACGGGGGCCCGCACAAGCAGUGGAGCAUGUGGUUUAAUUUGAUGCAACGCGAAGAACGUUACCCAGACUUGACAUAUAAUAGACGCUAGCAGAAAUGUUAGUUCCCGCAAGGGCUGUUAUACAGGUGCUGCAUGGCUGUCGUCAGCUCGUGUUG